AGGAUCGUGCUCUGGGCCAAAGGCAGGCGCUAAACUGCUGCGCCACCCAGGGUUCCCCGUGUUUAUUUUUUUAUUACAACAAUUCCAUUGCCAUUCUUGUCAGUAAACUGAUUAAGCUGAGAGAACUAUGGCUUGGUAAGACACUAUUUAGUUCGGUUUUCUACAUUUUUAACAAUCUUCAAGAACUUAAUACAUUCCUCAAGGGGAACAGAAGGCUUAGACUAGAGGAGAUAAACCCAAGAGUGUUUUAAAGUACCAUAUUGAGGGCUUCAGAAAACCUGGCAUCCUAUGUCUCCUACCUCUCCGCAUCUCUGGGAUGGCACAGUGAUGCUCCUGCCACCUCUGCUGGAUGACGGCAUCUGCAGCCCACCGCUGUUCUGUCUAAGCGAGUGUGCCAGAAGGCUUGGAGGACUGCAGCUGCCCGUGCAGGGCAAAAACAUCCUCUGGGUAGCUAAAGCUCGGACUUCUUUCUAAGCAGGGUACCUUUUACCAGGGUCCCUUCAUGGAAACCACAUAUAUACAUAAAAGACCUGCCAUAGUAUUUAGCCUAAUGGCUGUGCCGUUUAUGAAGAUCAACCACAGGUGAAGAAGGCCUUUUAUGUUUUGUACCUGAGUAUCAAACAUAAUGUAUAUUUAGUGCUCAAAACUUUAUUGUAGAAGUAUGCCCAUUUUGUUUUUUUUUUGUUUUUUUUUUUUUCCUUACAAAAGGGCUUAUAAACCCUGUAGGUAAAAAAUUAAGAAUUCCCAUUUGGGGGAAUUAAAGUUUCUGGUCACCAAAACAAACAAAAAGCCAAAAAAACCUUUGAAGGUGUUCCUGAUUCUGUAGGUUGGAGAUGGGACAUGAAUAUUUGUAGUUCUUGCAGGUUCCCAGGUAACUCUUUCUUUUCGGAUUGUGGUCCAGGGCCAGCAGCAUCAGUAUCACCUGGUAGUUUGUUAAUAGUGCAGACUCUCACAGGUUCUCAGGCCCACAGGAGACCUUCUGUAUCAGAAUCUGAAUUUUAACAUGGUGCCAGGUGAGGAGUGCACAUAGCCACAAACUGAAUAGCAAGAGUUGGAUAGCCCCAAGAAGUUGUUUCUCUUGUUCCAGUCUUGUUGGAGGUGAUGGCAGCCUUUAGAGCGUCUCCCCCACCCCCCUGCCCCGAGCCUUGACUUUCUGGUUGGUACUUGCUGGUCAGUGACCUGGCCGAUGCUGUCCGCUGCCUCAGUGUGAUUUGCCUGGCUUUGAAUACUCCUCUGUACACCCCUGAAUGGAAAUACUACUUGGUUCUGCUCCAGAAUAUUAGUUCUGAAAAAUGUCAAGAAGGUGAAUGCCUAAACAUCUGCUUCCCUUUCUGCUUUCCACUCCUUUCUCUCAACUCCCACAUUUGUGAGCUCUGUUCCAUCAGCAUCCUUUAGCAAAUACACAGAAGGCCAAAGCACCACCUCUGCGGAGCACUGUUAUAGGAAGGCUCCAAAUACAUAUUUAAAGGUCCAGAAAAAUGAACGGUGAUCAAGUGCCUGUGUGGGGUAUGGUUGGAGGUUAUUUGACAAGAAUUGCUGACCAGCCUGACAGGUCAGGGCUGUGCCUAUCAGUCCCAGACUGAGAGGAAUCUAAAACUGUUCAGAAAGAAAGCAAGGACAGCAGCAAGGCAGUGGAUCUUAAUGUACUGCCCAGCAUCGAAUAGGUGGAAAUUGAGCCUAACUUUCUCCUAUUUUGCCCCAUCAACUGCCACCGUUUUGUCUGUAAAAGAUCACAGAAGUAACAACAAUGCAAGGGGUUUGGAAAAUAGAAUAGCAAAUAGCAAAUAUUUACCCACUGCCCCACUGCCAUAUAUAGUUAUAUAUGUUUUUCUAUCUGUCGCCAACCAUAUGUAAUAGGAAGAAUAAUGGACUCUCAGAGAUGUUCAUGUCCUAAUUCCUUGAGACUGGUAAUUUGUUAGGUUACAGACAAAUUUGGAAAUUAACAUUGCAGAAGGAAUGAAGUUUGCUUAUUGCUGACUUUAAAUGUAGAGGUUAUUUGGGAUUAUCUGGGUGGGCUCACUGUAAUCAUAAGAGUCCCUUAAAAGUGGAAGAGAGAGGCAGAAAACUCUGAGGGAAAUGUGACUGGAGGUAGGUCAGAGGGGCGUGAUGUGAGGACUCAAUUGGCCUUUGGGGACUUUGAAGACAGAGGAUAGGGCCACUGGCCAAGGAGUGUGGAUGCCCAAUAGAGGUUGUGAGAAGGAAAUGACUUCUCUUAUGUGGCCUUCAGAAAAGAACACUGCCCAGCCAAAACCUUGAUUUUAGGUCAAUAAGACCUGUAUUGAACUUCUGUCCUCCAAAAUUGUAAGAUAAUAAAUAUGCAUUACUUUAAGCAGCUAAGUUUGUGGUAAUGUGGAGCAUUACAGCAGCAAUAGAAAAGUAAGACACCAUAUUUUUUUUCACCAUAUUUCUUAUAGUUACAUCAUGCCUAAAUAUUUUUUGGGGGGUUGCAGUAGUUUUUGUAAUUAUUUGAAUGGCCAUGUGUUAUUCUGUGGAGCUGAAGUACUGUCAUUCCUUAGCCAUAUGUUCACUUGAAAAUCAGAUAUGUGAACUGCUUCCUGUAUUUCCUUUUUUUCAUGUUUCAUUAUUUUCUAAGGAUAUUCUAUCAGAAUUACAUUUGGACUUUGAAUUUCUUCCAGUUUUUCUAUAUUUAACUUUAAGAAAAAAAUCUCUGAAGUCCAUUUGAAAUUUUUAAAAAUAUUUGUUUAGAGAGAGUGUGUGCCUGCGUGCACACUCUCACGUGUGC